GUGAAUCAUCAAAUCUUUGAACGCAAAUUGCACUCCCUGGUAUUCCGGGGAGCAUGCCCGUUUGAGGGUCAGUUUAAAUCACAAACGGUGUGGUCGCGGCUUUUCGUGGUGCUGCACCGGUUUUGGGUCGUCAUGUUUUCGGUUAAGCGACCGAAAAUUUUGCAUGAUUUUUUUUGAACGUAUUUAAAUGAUUUUACGUACGUUUGAGCUAUUGUUUAUU
rnacentral:misc_RNA from 1 species